rnacentral:rRNA from 1 species
GGGUCAGUAGGUUGGUCGUGCCACCGGUACGUACUGGUCUCACUGAUUCCUCCUUCCUGAAGAACCGUAAUGCCAUUAAUUUGGUGUUGCGGGGAAACAGGACUGUUACUUUGAAAAAAUUAGAGUGUUUAAAGCAAGCUAACGCUUGAAUACAUUAGCAUGGAAUAAUGAAAUAGGACGAUCGAUCCUAUUUUGUUGGUCUCUAGGAUUGACGCA